rnacentral:rRNA from 1 species
AAACUACAAAGGAAUUGACGGGACCCGCACAAGCGGUGGAUGAUGUGGUUAAUUCGAUGCAACGCGAAAAACCUUACCCACCUUUGACAUGUACGGAACCCUUUAGAGAUAGAGGGGUGCUCGAAAGAGAGCCGUAACACAGGUGCUGCAUGGCUGUCGUCAGCUCGUGUCGUGAGAUGUUGGGUUAAGUCCCGCAACGAGCGCAACCCUUGUCAUUAGUUGCUACAUUCAGUUGGGCACUCUAAUGAGACUGCCGGUGACAAGCCGGAGGAAGGUGGGGAUGACGUCAAGUCCUCAUGGCCCUUAUAGGUGGGGCUACACACGUCAUACAAUGGCUGGUACAAAGGGUUGCCAACCCGCGAGGGGGAGCCAAUCCCAUAAAGCCAGUCGUAGUCCGGAUCGUAGUCUGCAACUCGACUACGUGAAGUCGGAAUCGCUAGUAAUCGUGGAUCAGAAUGUCACGGUGAAUACGUUCCCGGGUCUU